AGAGUUUGAUCCUGGCUCAGAAUCAACGCUGGCGGCGUGCCUAACACAUGCAAGUCGAACGCGAAAGCCCCGCAAGGGGUAAGUAGAGUGGCAAACGGGUGAGUAACACGUGGGUGAUCUGCCUCGGAGUGGGGGAUAACGACUCGAAAGGGUCGCUAAUACCGCAUAACAUCCUGCCUUUGGAUAGGUGGAGAUCAAAGUUGGGGAUCGCAAGGACCUGACGCUUGGAGAGGAGCCCGCGGCCGAUUAGCUAGUUGGUAGGGUAACGGCCUACCAAGGCAACGAUCGGUAUCCGGCCUGAGAGGGCGGACGGACACACUGGGACUGAGACACGGCCCAGACUCCUACGGGAGGCAGCAGUGGGGAAUUGUUCGCAAUGGGCGCAAGCCUGACGACGCAACGCCGCGUGGAGGACGAAGAUUUUCGGAUCGUAAACUCCUUUCGAUCGGGAAGAACAGCUUUCGGGUUAAAGCCUGAGAGUCUAC
rnacentral:rRNA from 1 species